UAUGAGAAGAAUUGUCGGUUAUAACGCAUUUUUUCCGCCCAACCGACGAAUUCUUUGGAAACACGAGGGACGAAGGACCCUUCAGUUGGACAUGAACCAAAAGUUAACUAUCUAUGCAGAAAGCUGAACACCGAGGCGGCCAUGACGGACAACCACACCAGCACUGACCACAAGCCGUCUUUUUCACGAAUGUGGGCAGAACCUGGAAGAGAAGAACAAGAAAAGGUUGGUUUUUAUUCAUUCAGUUCAUGACCUCUUAAACCCAGCACCCACUCAGCUUAUCAUGUGUGCGUUUGAUGUGUGCCCUGUGACGUGGUGAAAUUCUAGUUGUUUUUCCAUUUUCAUGUGUCUUUCUUUUUUCC